AUAUAGUUUGAUUUCUUAUAUUUAAAAAUAUAAUAUUUAGUUUUUGUCCUCAGGAACAACUUAUGUAUUAGCCUCCACCACAGAGACCUCAGAAGACGUACUUCCCCAACACUUAUGUGGUUCCAACAGAGAAGAAGCGUUCUGCUCUAAGAUGGGAGAUCCGACAUGAUUUAGCACAUGGCACUAUUCCAACAAAAAUCUCUUAUCCCU